rnacentral:rRNA from 1 species
UACGGGAGGCAGCAGUGGGGAAUAUUGGACAAUGGGGGCAACCCUGAUCCAGCCAUGCCGCGUGAGUGAUGAAGGCCUUAGGGUUGUAAAGCUCUUUCGACGGGGACGAUGAUGACGGUACCCGUAGAA